rnacentral:tRNA from 1 species
GGUAGUGGCUCAGUGGUAGAGCACUUGCCUGGCAUGUGUGAGGCCCUGGGUUCAAUUCUCAGCACCA